AAAUUGAAGAGUUUGAUCAUGGCUCAGAUUGAACGCUGGCGGCAGGCCUAACACAUGCAAGUCGAACGGUAGCACAGAGAGCUUGCUCUCGGGUGACGAGUGGCGGACGGGUGAGUAAUGUCUGGGAAACUGCCCGAUGGAGGGGGAUAACUACUGGAAACGGUAGCUAAUACCGCAUAACGUCGCAAGACCAAAGUGGGGGACCUUCGGGCCUCACACCAUCGGAUGUGCCCAGAUGGGAUUAGCUAGUAGGUGGGGUAACGGCUCACCUAGGCGACGAUCCCUAGCUGGUCUGAGAGGAUGACCAGCCACACUGGAACUGAGACACGGUCCAGACUCCUACGGGAGGCAGCAGUGGGGAAUAUUGCACAAUGGGCGCAAGCCUGAUGCAGCCAUGCCGCGUGUAUGAAGAAGGCCUUCGGGUUGUAAAGUACUUUCAGCGAGGAGGAAGGCGUUGUGGUUAAUAACCACAGCGAUUGACGUUACUCGCAGAAGAAGCACCGGCUAACUCCGUGCCAGCAGCCGCGGUAAUACGGAGGGUGCAAGCGUUAAUCGGAAUUACUGGGCGUAAAGCGCACGCAGGCGGUUUGUUAAGUCAGAUGUGAAAUCCCCGGGCUCAACCUGGGAACUGCAUUUGAAACUGGCAAGCUUGAGUCUCGUAGAGGGGGGUAGAAUUCCAGGUGUAGCGGUGAAAUGCGUAGAGAUCUGGAGGAAUACCGGUGGCGAAGGCGGCCCCCUGGACAAAGACUGACGCUCAGGUGCGAAAGCGUGGGGAGCAAACAGGAUUAGAUACCCUGGUAGUCCACGCCGUAAACGAUGUCUACUUGGAGGUUGUGCCCUUGAGGCGUGGCUUCCGGAGCUAACGCGUUAAGUAGACCGCCUGGGGAGUACGGCCGCAAGGUUAAAACUCAAAUGAAUUGACGGGGGCCCGCACAAGCGGUGGAGCAUGUGGUUUAAUUCGAUGCAACGCGAAGAACCUUACCUGGUCUUGACAUCCACGGAAGUUUUCAGAGAUGAGAAUGUGCCUUCGGGAACCGUG
rnacentral:rRNA from 1 species